rnacentral:rRNA from 1 species
GUCGAACGAAGGCUUCGGCCUUAGUGGCGCACGGGUGCGUAACGCGUGGGAAUCUGCCCCUUGGUUCGGAAUAACAGUUAGAAAUGACUGCUAAUACCGGAUGACGACGUAAGUCCAAAGAUUUAUCGCCGAGGGAUGAGCCCGCGUAGGAUUAGCUAGUUGGUGUGGUAAAGGCGCACCAAGGCGACGAUCCUUAGCUGGUCUGAGAGGAUGAUCAGCCACACUGGGACUGAGACACGGCCCAGACUCCUACGGGAGGCAGCAGUGGGGAAUAUUGGACAAUGGGCGAAAGCCUGAUCCAGCAAUGCCGCGUGAGUGAUGAAGGCCUUAGGGUUGUAAAGCUCUUUUACCCGGGAUGAUAAUGACAGUACCGG